UGCCUACGGGGGGCAGCAGUCGGGAAUAUUGCGCAAUGGAGGAAACUCUGACGCAGUGACGCCGCGUAUAGGAAGAAGGUUUUCGGAUUGUAAACUAUUGUCGUGAGGGAAGAAAUUGACAGUACCUCAGGAGGAAGCUCCGGCUAACUAUGUGCCAGCAGCCGCGGUAAUACGGAGGGUGCAAGCGUUACUCGGAAUCACUGGGCGUAAAGAGCGCGUAGGCGGGUGGUCAAGUCAGAUGUGAAAUCCUGUAGCUUAACUACAGAACUGCAUUUGAAACUGAUCAUCUAGAGUAUGGGAGAGGG
rnacentral:rRNA from 1 species